ensembl:lncRNA
AUUAAGGAAUCAGCAGUGGGAACCUCGCAGCUGUCACGCGAAAGAGGAGAGGGAGCAGGAGAUGCUACUGGCCACUCCUCGGGUUCUGUGAUGCUCCUGAUUCUGGAUCUGCUCAUCUCCUCGCCUUUCUUCUGGUUAUUGGCUCAUCUUGCCCACCCUCGGCCCCGAGAGAACAUCCCCCAGCUCAGCCCCCACUUUCCCUGUGGGGACAUGCAGCCCUUCAGAACGUCCUUCCCAUACUGAAACUCCAAUGUCCUCUCCUCCGUGAAGACAGCCAAGUCUGUCUGGUCAUCUCACCGCUACAGAGCGUUAAUAGGGUGGGGGCUCAGCCGGGUCAGAGGGAGGCUCUGCUGGGCAGGUGGGCAGUCAGGUCCCAUGGUCCUCUGGGGUUCUCCGUGUGACCUGGACAACCCGGCUCCACUGUCAUAGAAUGUCCUGGAGCAGGAGCCCCCCAUCGCCCAGGAUCUGCCUGGGACCACAGAGCCUGUGGGAGAGACCUGGUGGGCAGCCACAGCUGGCACCCAGGUGUGUGUAGCCCUGUCUUGUAGGCUGGGGGGCCCAGAGGAGAGCUGGUGGAUGAGGUGACAAUGGGACCCCUGAAGGGGAGCAACUGGGGAGAAGAAGCGAGAGGGGUCUGGGACGCAGCCCCUGAGCCAGAGUCCCCACUCGGACACAUCUGUUGGCGUUGACUUUGCAUCCCACACCCAGCCUUGUCCUCUCGCCUCUACACUGGUGACAGUGGUGUCACCUGUGACUGCCUUGCAGGAGACCCUGAUGCUGGGAAAGAUUGAAGACAAAAGAAGGGGAC